UAUCUUUGACGAAACGGUUGUCAAAUGUCAACGAUAUUUGUGUGUGUACUGUGUAGCAACAACUUUGUACGAAGUUCUAGAGAAUUCUCGAGAGAACGUAGAGAGAUGAACAAAUAUAUCUAAUAUCUUACUGAAAGGUUUCUGGGUACCUAGUGCUGUUGUGUCGUUUGAAACUUUGCUUCAGUUUGCAAUUAGUGUGAGCGUGUGUAAGAAUUUUUUUUUCUUAUUUGCGGUAACAUAAUCACAAAAGGAAAAUGUCUUAUAUGUUAGGACACCUUCACAAUGGAUGGCAGGUAGACCAGGCCAUCUUAUCAGAGGAAGAUAGAGUUGUGGUAAUACGUUUCGGCCAUGACUGGGAUCCAUCUUGUAUGAAAAUGGAUGAAGUAUUGUACAGUAUAGCAGAAAAAGUGAAAAACUUUGCAGUUAUAUAUCUGGUAGAUAUAACAAAGGUUCCUGACUUUAAUAAAAUGUAUGAACUGUACGAUCCAUGUACAGUAAUGUUCUUCUUCCGGAACAAACAUAUAAUGAUUGAUCUGGGCACUGGUAACAACAAUAAAAUAAAUUGGCCACUGGAAGAUAAGCAGGAGAUGAUUGAUAUAAUAGAAACAGUGUAUCGUGGUGCAAGGAAAGGGAGAGGUCUUGUAGUGUCACCAAAAGACUAUUCAACAAAAUACCGUUACUAAAUUUUGCUUUAUGCUGUGGUAUAGAAGAUCUGUGGCACAUGACACCAGCUGACUCUCAGUGUGUGUGAAAGAGAUGGUGAUGCCUUGCAGUGUCUUUUGUCCCCCCUCCUGACCAUGGGUGCUUAAACUUCAGGCAGACAGUCUGUUCAGCAGUAGUAUGGCAAGGAGAAAAUGAACUGUUCCUGAGGUAAAAGCUUUUAAAUUAAGGAAUACAUGUCUUUUGUGUAUCACUGUAACUUGGGAGACUGGUACCAGUUCAUCAGAUCAGUGUUCAUUUGUAAAGGCAAUAUUAUUCAGUAACCCACCUGUCUUCCAAUGUGUGUCCUUGCAAGCAAAAAUCAGAUAUCUCAUUUCAUCCAUCAUCAAGUGUUUAGUAAUUUUUUGGUAGAAUAUGAAGGGGUUCAAUCAUAUCAGAAGUAAUUUGCAUUCUUUGUGGCCAGUAAUAAG